UUGGUCGGAGUCUUGUAAAUGGAGUCGGCACUCGGUCAACCGUGCCUCCUGGUAAAAGGAGUGUACAAAAAGAAGUCAUAAGGAAGUUCUUGGGGU